UACGUAGGGGGCGAGCGUUGUCCGAAGUUACUGGGCGUAAAGCGCGCGUAGGCGGCCAUCUAAGUUCGGGGUGAAAGGUUCAACGCUCAACGUGAACAGUGCCCUGAAUACUGGCUGGCUUGAGUUCGGGAGGGGGCAGUGGAAUUCCGGGUGUAGCGGUGAAAUGCGUAGAUAUCCGGAGGAACACCGAUGGCGAAGGCAGCUGCCUGGCCCAGAACUGACGCUGAGGUGCGAAAGCGUGGGGAGCAAACAGG
rnacentral:rRNA from 1 species